CAGAAGGAUCCUUGCCCCAAGAUUCCAUAUUGCUAUAUUUUAUCAUUUAAUCAUAUCAUCCUCUAACUUUGCUUCAACAUUCCUCUUUCAACUUCUUUCCAUACAAUUUGAAUCAUACAAUCUAACUUCAACUAAUAGCAACACAAAUUUGGAUAUAUUUUCAUCAAACUGAAGAAAUUGCAAAGAAAAAGGCAUAUCUUCUGCCACUGUGGGAUGCCUGUGAGAUCUAGCUGGAUUCUCUACUUCUGAGUGAUGGGGUUUCUAAUACUUCUCUUGGGAGAUGAUUCCAUCUUCUAAUAGUUUCAUUAGAACUGGCAAUAGAAUCAGGAAGACUUGCAUUCAGUUGUCUCCAUAGACAUAGAUUUUGAGAAAGUCACUUAAGGACUGAGAUGGAAAACAGCUAGAAAAUGACAAGCAGAGCAGCCUCUUCUGAGCCCAGCAUUGAAACUGAAUGCCUAAAUCAUGCAAGACAGAUGAUGAAGGUCUCUAGGGAUGGGUAGGCAAGCCUGCUUGCCUGAAGCAGCACAGGUUACUCUGAGGGAGAGAAAAGAGGCAGUAGAUUCCAGGAGGAUAAAGAGCAAUGUAAGAUCCUGGAGAUUAUGGAGUGUAUAUGUUUCUUUCCUUCCAUUCCAAUGGCUAGCAGCAUUCUUUGCACAUAUGAGGUGGUAUUUAAGAGUUGGCUGAGUUGAGUUGAUUGUAUUAUCUAUGCUCUUGGUUCAGUGUCUAAAACAACAUUGUAAAUGCAAUAAAAUAAUCAA